UUUCCGUAGGUGAACCUGCGGAAGGAUCAUUCAUAAUAAGUGUUUUAUGGCACUUUUUUAAAUCCAUAUCCACCUUGUGUGCAAUGUCAGGGUUGAGUUUUCUCUCGAGAGGAUGAUCCCCAAACAUAAAAUAUAUCUAAACUCUUUGUCUGAAAAAUAUUAUGCAUACAACAAUUCAAAAUACAACUUUCAACAACGGAUCUCUUGGCUCUC
rnacentral:misc_RNA from 1 species